CGGACUUUUACCCCCCCUGUUUUAUAAUUUGUUGGAUUUUGCCCCCCCUAAAAUUCUGCUUUCGAGUCACAACUUUAAAGCUUCGCACACAACUCAAUUUUGAUCAAUAAUUUACCAAAAGGAUACCGAAAUGACCGUAAUUGAGUUAUCUUUCCACAUAAUCAAACCACACUGAAUUUGGAGUUACAAAGAGAGAUUAAUUACCGUUUUAGUGAAGGUAUGUCCCCCAAAAUUCUGCAAAAAAUCUGCUUUCGAGUCACAACUUCAAAGCUUCGCAUACAACUCAAUUUGGAUCCAUANNNNNNNAGUUAUCUUUCCACAUAAUCAAACCCCACUGAAUUUGGAGUUACGAAGAGAGAUUAAUUACCGUUUUAGUGAAGGUAUGUCCCCAAAAUUCUGCAAAAAAUCUGCUUUCGAGUCACAACUUCAAAGCUUCGUAUACAACUCAAUUUAGAUCCAUAAUUCACCAAAUGGCUACCGAAAUGACCGUAAUCGAGUUAGCUUUUCACAAAAUCAAACCCCACUAAAUUUGGAGUUACAGAGAGAGAUUAAUUACCGUUUUAGUGAAG
rnacentral:lncRNA from 1 species